rfam:Clostridiales bacterium GWD2_32_19 gwd2_scaffold_373, whole genome shotgun sequence.
AAAACCCAAUCUAGUAAGACCUAGCCAGUCGCUAGUAUCUAGUCUUGGAGCCGAAACGGUGACGAUAGGUUUAAGCGUAGACAAGAAAGAGCGCGAGCCGUAAUGUGUGAACAUGAAGCAAGUUGAGCCUCGUAAGGAUUAAAAGAUAGAAGCCGAUACUCUUCAGGUAGUAGCAGGCAAUAACACACAGACGAUAAGGCAAGGAAGUGUGAUUUCUAUCGGGGUCGAAGAGCA